rnacentral:rRNA from 1 species
GACGAACGCUGGCGGCGUGCUUAACACAUGCAAGUCGAACGGAAAGGCCCUGCUUUUGUGGGGUGCUCGAGUGGCGAACGGGUGAGUAACACGUGAGUAACCUGCCCUUGACUUUGGGAUAACUUCAGGAAACUGGGGCUAAUACCGGAUAGGAGCUCGUGCUGCAUGGUGGGGGUUGGAAAGUUUCGGCGGUUGGGGAUGGACUCGCGGCUUAUCAGCUUGUUGGUGGGGUAGUGGCUUACCAAGGCUUUGACGGGUAGCCGGCCUGAGAGGGUGACCGGCCACAUUGGGACUGAGAUACGGCCCAGACUCCUACGGGAGGCAGCAGUGGGGAAGAUUGCACAAUGGGCGGAAGCCUGAUGCAGCAACGCCGCGUGCGGGAUGACGGCCUUCGGGUUGUAAACCGCUUUCGCCUGUGACGAAGCGUGAGUGACGGUAAUGGGUAAAGAAGCACCGGCUAACUACGUG